CAACACACUCGAGACUAACUGAGCACCACCAAAACUUUUAAAAGGUCUUUUCUUUUUGACCGUCAAGCCAUUAAGAUCUCUGUUCAAAGAUACAAUUUUAAUUGGUUUUCAAACCAUCCAGCCCAAGCCAUAAAAUCUACGGUCAAUAAAAGGCCAAUUUAAGAAAUUGAGUCUUCUAGACUCGAAUUUGUUUUAAGUUACCUAAAAGUACUUAACAAGCACAUCGAGGGUCUUCUGUACAUCUUUGGAGGUGACAGCCACUUCUAGAUUCCACCACGUGCACUUUUUAUUUUCCAAGGCCAACCAUCCAAUACAAAAAGGAAGACGUAGCAACGGCAAACAAAUUCAAGGCCAAGGUUCAGCUGUCUUCUCCCAAUUCCAACAACGGGGAAACAGCAAAACUUAUUCAAGGCCAAGGUCAAGCUCUCUGCUUCCCAUUCUAGCAACGCGAGUAAAAUCGACAAUAUCUUGCUCAAUAACGGCAGUUUUCCUGAACAGAAAAAUUAAAAAAGAAACCAGAUCACACUCAAAUAAGAACUCAGUUUACAUAAGUUCGGGAGGCUGAUCGGUUGCUUGGAAAUAGGGCUGUAAAAGUAACGACAAAAUGAGUACCCGCAUGUAUACGUUACUUUUGAUAGUAGUACCCGCAUCAAUAAUAUCGUUACUCGUUACUUUCGUAUGCUUCGUAUUUUUCGUGUGUUUCGUAUGUUUCGCAAGUUUCGCAUGUUUCGUAUGUUUCGUUACUUUCGUUACUUUCGCAUGCUUCGUACGUUUCGUAAAUUUCGUAUAUUUCAUGUAUUUGAUACGUUUCGUAUGCUUGGUAUUUAAAGUAGGUACCUAUGUUUCUUACUUUGGUGGGUGUAAAUUUUUUUUUUUGAAAAAAACCAAAAACAAUUUGUGUAAUCUAAACUACAUUUUAAGGCCAGAAACAUUAAAAUAAGCUGCUGCUUUCUCAUGUAAUAAGAGUUUGAACGUAUAGCCAUACUGAUUUUUUUUCGAUUUUUUUUAAUCAAACGUGGAAACUUUUUUGAUUUUUUUCCUUAUUUUUUAACAAAACUUUGGUAAUUUUUUGUUUAUAUUCGUUCAGUAAUCUUAUCACAAUUCUGUAGAGACCUUUGUUUCAAAAGUACUUAGCGCAUAUCUCGGAAUAUGAACACUUCAAUACAACUAUGUCGAACAAUUUUUCAUUCAAUUUUCUAUUGAGAGUGAUUUUCAAACCUCGUUUUCUCUGCUUAUUUUAGUUGAAAAUUUUGCACUGAAAAUAGAGAAAUUUUUUAAGAAGCCAAAAAACUUUUGUACAUUCUUAAGCUACAUUUCAAGACCAUUAACACCAAGGUCAUAAACACAUUGGUUGCGGUGUGGGUAUAUUUCGGCCACAUAGAGAAAAUACCAAAAACGAUAUGAUAUUUCUGUAGAGUCGUUCGUGGUAAGUGUUCGCAUCCGAUAAGUGCGCGCAUUGCUAUUUUCUCGAAACUAGUGUAAAAAUUUAAAUUUCUGCUCAUGCACAAUUAAUUAGAUAUUUGAUCUUCGUCGAAGUCCGUAAUUUAUUUAUGGUUACGUUGUUUUUAAUGUUUCGAGAAAAAGCAAAAGAAAAAAAAGCUAA